UGGGGAAUAUUGCACAAUGGGGGAAACCCUGAUGCAGCGACGCCGCGUGAACGAAGAAGGUAUUCGUAUCGUAAAGUUCUGUCCUAUGGGAAGAUAAUGACAGUACCAUAGAAGAAAGCUCCGGCUAAAUACGUGCCAGCAGCCGCGGUAAUACGUAUGGAGCGAGCGUUGUCCGGAAUUAUUGGGCGUAAAGGGUACGCAGGCGGUUUAAUAAGUCGAAUGUUAAAGAUCGGGGCUCAACCCCGUAAAGCAUUGGAAACUGAUAAACUUGAGUAGUGGAGAGGAAAGUGGAAUUCCUAGUGUAGUGGUGAAAUACGUAGAUAUUAGGAGGAAUACCAGUAGCGAAGGAGACUUUCUGGACACAAACUGACGCUGAGGUACGAAAGCGUGGGGAGCAAACAGG
rnacentral:rRNA from 1 species